rnacentral:rRNA from 1 species
CAGGUGGUGCAUGGUUGUCGUCAGCUCGUGUCGUGAGAUGUUGGGUUAAGUCCCGCAACGAGCGCAACCCUCGACCUUAGUUGCCAGCAUUCAGUUGGGCACUCUAAGGUGACUGCCGGCUAAAAGUCGGAGGAAGGUGGGGAUGACGUCAAAUCAUCAUGCCCCUUAUGACCUGGGCUACACACGUGCUACAAUGGGCGGUACAAAGGGUCGCGAACCCGCGAGGGGGAGCCAAUCCCAAAAAGCCGCUCUCAGUUCGGAUUGCAGGCUGCAACUCGCCUGCAUGAAGCCGGAAUCGCUGGUAAUCGCGGAUCAGCAUGCCGCGGUGAAUACGUUCCCGGGCCUU